ensembl:lincRNA
GAUGCUAACAGUAACGAUGUUUGUUUCUGUAGGAGUUGAACGCCACUGUCACCUGCAGGUCAUUCCCAGCACCUCUGAGGAGCCCUUGCCCUAGCCUGGCCUCGCAGGAUCAUGGCUUCCCAUUUUGUGAGCUUUCUCGGUGUCCUGGGUUCCCUCCUGUUGCUCAGACUCCAGCUCGUCUGCCCGCAGCCCUCCACUGAACACAGAAAGGUCCCGCAGCGGAUGGAGGCAGAGGGCGGCCCCGAGGACGGCGGCGCUGCCCCUGGGGUGUGGGGCUCCUGGGGGCCCUGGUCCGC